rnacentral:pre_miRNA from 1 species
CAUGCAUCAGUGGGGUCCCUCAGCCUGGCCUGCACCCUCUCUCAAUCCAGGACCCCUCAGGGUAUGUUGGAGAGCUGUUUUCGGCCUGAUAUCACAGGCCAGGCUGAGGGACCCCACUGGUGCAUG